rnacentral:rRNA from 1 species
CCUACGGGAGGCAGCAGUGGGGAAUUUUCCGCAAUGGGCGAAAGCCUGACGGAGCAACGCCGCGUGAGGGAUGAAGGCCUCUGGGCUGUAAACCUCUUUUAUCAAGGAAGAAGAUCUGACGGUACUUGAUGAAUAAGCCACGGCUAAUUCCGUGCCAGCAGCCGCGGUAAUACGGGAGUGGCAAGCGUUAUCCGGAAUUAUUGGGCGUAAAGCGUCCGCAGGCGGUCUUGUAAGUCUGUCGUUAAAGCGUGGAGCUCAACUCCAUUUCGGCGGUGGAAACUACAAGACUAGAGUGUGGUAGGGGCAGAGGGAAUUCCCGGUGUAGCGGUGAAAUGCGUAGAUAUCGGGAAGAACACCAGUGGCGAAGGCGCUCUGCUGGGCCAUAACUGACGCUCAUGGACGAAAGCUAGGGGAGCGAAAGGGAUUAGAUACCCCUGUAGUCCUAGCCGUAAACGAUGAACACUAGGUGUCGGGGGAAUCGACCCCUCGGUGUCGUAGCUAACGCGUUAAGUGUUCCGCCUGGGGAGUACGCACGCAAGUGUGAAACUCAAAUGAAUUGACGGCUGAGACGNGCGACGACGACGACGAGGGAGAGG